CGCGUAGGCGGCCUGAUAAGUCGGGGGUGAAAGCCUGUGGCUCAACCACAGAAUUGCCUUCGAUACUGUCGGGCUUGAGACCGGAAGAGGUAAGUGGAACUGCGAGUGUAGAGGUGAAAUUCGUAGAUAUUCGCAAGAACACCAGUGGCGAAGGCGGCUUACUGGUCCGGUUCUGACGCUGAGGCGCGAAAGCGUGGGGAGCAAACA
rnacentral:rRNA from 1 species